rnacentral:rRNA from 1 species
UGGGGAAUUUUCCGCAAUGGGCGAAAGCCUGACGGAGUGACGCCGCGUGGGGGACGAAGGCCUUCGGGUUGUAAACCCCUGUCAGAGGGAAAGAAGGGUGUCGGCGCGAUAACCGCCGGCACUUGACGGUACCUUCAGAGGAAGCCCCGGCCAACUACGUGCCAGCAGCCGCGGUAACACGUAGGGGGCAAGCGUUGUCCGGAUUCAUUGGGCGUAAAGAGCUCGUAGGCGGUUCGGUAAGUCGGGUGUGAAACCUCCAGGCUCAACCUGGAGACGCCACCCGAUACUGCCGUGACUAGAGUCCAGUAGGGGAGCGUGGAAUUCCUGGUGUAGCGGUGAAAUGCGCAGAUAUCAGGAGGAACACCAGCGGCGAAGGCGGCGCUCUGGGCUGGAACUGACGCUGAGGAGCGAAAGCGUGGGGAGCGA